rnacentral:rRNA from 1 species
UACGAAGGGGGCUAGCGUUGCUCGGAAUUACUGGGCGUAAAGCGUGCGCAGGCGGUUGUGCAAGACAGAUGUGAAAUCCCCGGGCUUAACCUGGGAACUGCAUUUGUGACUGCACGGCUAGAGUGUGUCAGAGGGGGGUAGAAUUCCACGUGUAGCAGUGAAAUGCGUAGAUAUGUGGAGGAAUACCGAUGGCGAAGGCAGCCCCCUGGGAUAACACUGACGCUCAUGCACGAAAGCGUGGGGAGCAAACAGG